UUCUAGAGUUUUGGAAAUAUGGCAAAAAGAAAACUCAAUUCUAGAGAAGCAAACACAGUAUUUUGAAUUUUCAAACCCUAUGAAGUAAUUUUAGCUUUAGUUACCUUAGCUAAGCCAUGCACUAAUGCUUCAUUCAGAGUUCGUUGUUGCUGUUGUUGUUCUUUGUUUUAUACUCAUACUCAUACUCAUAGCAAAUGAAUCAAAGUAGUCACUUUGAUUGUGUGCUUGCAUUGCAGUCUGAGGAUUUGGCAUUGAAGCAUCAAUUGGAGUUGUAUGUGGAAAGGAUUCAGAAUUAUUGCCCUGUGGUACAGAGGAAUGCGCUUCAGAGCUUGGGGAACUUAGCUGGAGAAAUUCCACAAGAGUAUGUUGAGCGAAUGAGUGAAGAUGAAGAAAUUGAUGAUCUUAUGAAGCUUGUUGAACAAGUAGUUGCUUUUCACAUGAAGCACAAUACUGAACAUGAAGCUGUUGAUCUCUUAAUGUAGAUUACACUAUUUCCAGAUAUGAUGCUGGUUUGUAAUUUGUAAAGACAUAUCCUGGUGUGGCAGGUACGGGAGAUCAACACUGCUUCAUCAGAGGCCUCUCCAUGGUAAUCGGGGGAGAACUUUCC